rnacentral:rRNA from 1 species
UACGUAGGGGGCAAGCGUUGUCCGGAAUCAUUGGGCGUAAAGCGCGUGUAGGCGGCUCGGUAAGUCUGCUGUGAAAGUCCAGGGCUCAACCCUGGAAUGCCGGUGGAAACUGUCGAGCUUGGAGUCCGGAAGAGGCGAGUGGAAUUCCUGGUGUAGCGGUGAAAUGCGCAGAUAUCAGGAGGAACACCAAUGGGCGAAGGCAGCUCGCUGGGACGGUACUGACGCUGAGACGCGAAAGCGUGGGGAGCAAACAGG